rnacentral:rRNA from 1 species
AUUGAACGCUGGCGGCAGGCUUAACACAUGCAAGUCGAGCGGGGUGAUGGUGCUUGCACUAUCACUUAGCGGCGGACGGGUGAGUAAUGCUUAGGAAUCUGCCUAUUAGUGGGGGACAACAUCUCGAAAGGGAUGCUAAUACCGCAUACGUCCUACGGGAGAAAGCAGGGGAUCACUUGUGACCUUGCGCUAAUAGAUGAGCCUAAGUCGGAUUAGCUAGUUGGUGGGGUAAAGGCCUACCAAGGCGACGAUCUGUAGCGGGUCUGAGAGGAUGAUCGGCCACACUGGGACUGAGAAGCGGCCCAGACUCCUACGGGAGGCAGGAGUGGGGAAUAUUGGACAAUGGGGGGAACCCUGAUCCAGCCAUGCCGCGUGUGUGAAGAAGGCCUUAUGGUUGUAAAGCACUUUAAGCGAGGAGGAGGCUCUUUUGGUUAAUACCCAAGAUGAGUGGACGUUACUCGCAGAAUAAGCACCGGCUAACUCUGUGCCAGCCGCCGCGGUAA